rnacentral:rRNA from 1 species
UACGUAGGGGGGCAAGCGUUGUCCGGAAUCAUUGGGCGUAAAGCGCGUGUAGGCGGCCUGGAAGGUCUGAUGUGAAAACUUGGGGGCUCAACCCCAAGCCCUGCAUUGGAAACCGUCAGGCUUGAGUCUGGAAGAGGAGAGUGGAAUUCCUGGUGUAGCGGUGGAAUGCGCAGAUAUCAGGAGGAACACCAAUGGCGAAGGCAGCUCUCUGGUACAUGACUGACGCUGAGACGCGAAAGCGUGGGUAGCAAACAGG